AUUGAACGCUGGCGGCAGGCUUAACACAUGCAAGUCGAGCGGAGACUUCGGUCUUAGCGGCGAACGGGUGAGGAAUGCCUGGGAAUCUGCCUGUUAGGUGGGGGAUAACGAAUCGAAAGGUUCGCUAAUACCGCAUACGUCCUACGGGAGAAAGCGGGGGACCUUCGGGCCUUGCGCUAACAGAUGAGCCCAGGUCGGAUUAGCUAGUAGGUGGGGUAAAGGCUCACCUAGGCGACGAUCCGUAGCUGGUCUGAGAGGAUGAUCAGCCACACUGGAACUGAGACACGGUCCAGACUCCUACGGGAGGCAGCAGUGGGGAAUAUUGGACAAUGGGCGAAAGCCUGAUCCAGCCAUGCCGCGUGUGUGAAG
rnacentral:rRNA from 1 species